AAAUUGAAGAGUUUGAUCAUGGCUCAGAUUGAACGCUGGCGGCAGGCCUAACACAUGCAAGUCGAACGGUAACAGGAAGCAGCUUGCUGCUUCGCUGACGAGUGGCGGACGGGUGAGUAAUGUCUGGGAAACUGCCUGAUGGAGGGGGAUAACUACUGGAAACGGUAGCUAAUACCGCAUAAUGUCGCAAGACCAAAGAGGGGGACCUUCGGGCCUCUUGCCAUCGGAUGUGCCCAGAUGGGAUUAGCUUGUUGGUGGGGUAACGGCUCACCAAGGCGACGAUCCCUAGCUGGUCUGAGAGGAUGACCAGCCACACUGGAACUGAGACACGGUCCAGACUCCUACGGGAGGCAGCAGUGGGGAAUAUUGCACAAUGGGCGCAAGC
rnacentral:rRNA from 2 species